rnacentral:rRNA from 1 species
UACGAAGGGGGCUAGCGUUGCUCGGAAUUACUGGGCGUAAAGCGUACGUAGGCGGCUUUGUAAGUUAGAGGUGAAAGCCCAGAGCUCAACUCUGGAAUUGCCUUUAAGACUGCAUCGCUUGAAUCGUGGAGAGGUUAGUGGAAUUCCGAGUGUAGAGGUGAAAUUCGUAGAUAUUCGGAAGAACACCAGUGGCGAAGGCGACUAACUGGACACGUAUUGACGCUGAGGUACGAAAGCGUGGGAAGCAAACAGG